CGCGAUUGGCCAGCGUCGCGUGACGCACGGCCGAGCUCGGCGUCCAUUGGUCCGGCCUGCCCGGCGGGGCGUUUCAGGACCGUGGCUAUGGAGUCCGGCGUGGCAGCGGCAAUCCCUGGCCAAAGUGUGCCUUCAGCCAAAAGCAGAACUGGAAACAUCCUAAGUGGGCCGGUAACGAGGCUAGCUCUGUCGACUAGUUCAAGACCCCUGAGCGCUUUGGGCCUGAGGUUCCUCAGCUUCCAAGUGAAAGGCUUCGACUUGGCAUUCUAAGAGACAAUCUCUGUGACCAUCAGUUUCCUCAUCUGUAAAACUGGCAUCAUGAUAACUUUGAAGGUUUUAUUCUGGGCAUAUAUAUGUUUGGAGGUGUGUGUAUGUUUGGGGAACCUUUGAAUUUGGAAGUACCAAGAGACAAGAACUUGCUGUGUUGCCCAGGCUGGUCUUGAACUUCUGGCCUCAAGAAGAUCCUCCCACCUCGACCUCUCAAAGUGUUGGUAUUACAGACGUGAGCCACUGGGCCCCACUGUGUUCUGUUCUUAUUGCCCAUGACAAUUAAAGUUAGCUCUAUCUCAUCUCCAUGACCAUCACAAACACAUGCCAUUAAUUUUGCUCACCCAAAUCUCUAUGCUCUGACUUCUGGGCACCUAGUACUGGCUAAUGAGCUGUGAGCUGGGCCAGAGCAUAGAAUAGCUGGUGCGAGACCUUUUGAGAGUUCUAUCUCCCUCUGUCAUGGCAACCAGCCAUAUUCAAAAUGGCAACCAGCAAUAUUCAAAAUGAGGGCUACUGCCAGGCAUGCUGGCUCAUGCCUGUAAUCCCAG
rnacentral:lncRNA from 10 species